rnacentral:rRNA from 1 species
UACAGAGGGGGCAAGCGUUGUUCGGAAUUACUGGGCGUAAAGGGCGCGUAGGCGGCCUGCUAAGUCGAACGUGAAAUCCCCGGGCUCAACCCGGGAACUGCGUCCGAUACUGGCAGGCUUGAAUCCGGGAGAGGGAUGUGGAAUUCCAGGUGUAGCGGUGAAAUGCGCAGAUAUCAGGAGGAACACCGAUGGCGAAGGCAGGUCUCUGGGCCAUAACUGACGCUGAGAAGCGAAAGCAUGGGGAGCGAACAGG